rnacentral:rRNA from 1 species
GUGGAUUAGAUACCCGGGUAGUCCACGCCGUAAACGAUGGAUACUAGCUGUUCGGAGCAAUCUGAGUGGCUAAGCGAAAGUGAUAAGUAUCCCACCUGGGGAGUACGUUCGCAAGAAUGAAACUCAAAGGAAUUGACGGGGGCCCGCACAAGCGGUGGAGCAUGUGGUUUAAUUCGAUGAUACGCGAGGAACCUUACCAAGGCUUAAAUGGGAAACGACAGGUUUGGAAACAGACUUUUCUUCGGACGUUUUUCAAGGUGCUGCACGGUUGUCGACAACU